UCCGUAGACUGUAAAGUAAGUUACUAGUUUUAAAACUUUAAAGCCUAACUUUAAAAUAGCUUGUAAUACUGCUUUACUAUGAGUUUUAUACAGAAGAGUAAAAUUUUAUACGUAAGGGUAAAAUCUAAAAAUAUAUAAAGGAAUGCCAUAAGCGAAGGCAACUCUUUGGUAAAAACUGACGUUGAGGGACGAAAGUGUAGGGAGCAAACA
rnacentral:rRNA from 1 species